CCUGACGCAGCGACGCCGCGUGAGUNAUGAAGGCUUUCGGGUCGUAAAGCUCUGUCAAGUGGGAAGAACCUGCAGUAUGCCAAUAUCAUAUUGCACUGACGGUACCACUGAAGGAAGCACCGGCUAACUCCGUGCCAGCAGCCGCGGUAAUACGGGGGGUGCAAGCGUUAUUCGGAAUCAUUGGGCGUAAAGAGCACGUAGGCGGCCUGGUAAGUCAGAUBUGAAAGCCCGGGGCUUAACCCCGGAAGUGCAUUUGAUACUGUCAGGCUUGAGUAUGGGAGAGGGAAGUGGAAUUCCUGGUGUAGAGGUGAAAUUCGUAGAUAUCAGGAGGAACACCGGUGGCGAAGGCGACUUCCUGGACCAAUACUGACGCUGAGGUGCGAAGGCGUGGGUAGCAAACAGGAUUAGAUACCCUGGUAGUCCACGCAGUAAACGUUGUUCACUAGGUGUAGCGGGUAUUGACCCCUGCUGUGCCGCAGUUAACGCAUUADGUGAMCCGCCUGGGGAGUACGGCCGCAAGGUUAADNCUCMAAGGAUUUGACGG
rnacentral:rRNA from 1 species